rnacentral:rRNA from 1 species
GAUGAACGCUAGCGGCAGGCUUAAUACAUGCAAGUCGUGGGGCAGCAUGUCCUGUAGCAAUACAGGAUGAUGGCGACCGGCAAACGGGUGCGGAACACGUACACAACCUUCCUUUAAGUGGGGAAUAGCCCAGAGAAAUUUGGAUUAAUACCCCGUAACAUAUUGAAAAGGCAUCUUUUUGAUAUUAUAGCAGUAAUGCGCUUGAUGAUGGGUGUGCGGCUGAUUAGAUAGUUGGCGGGGUAACGGCCCACCAAGUCUGCGAUCAGUAACUGGUGUGAGAGCACGACCAGUCACACGGGCACUGAGACACGGGCCCGACUCCUACGGGAGGCAGCAGUAAGGAAUAUUGGCCAAUGGACGCAAGUCUGAACCAGCCAUGCCGCGUGGAGGAUGAAGGUCCUCUGGAUUGUAAACUUCUUUUAUAUGGGACGAAAAAAGGCUUUUCUAAGUCGUCUGACGGUACCAUAUGAAUAAGCACCGGCUAACUCCGUGCCAGCAGCCGCAGUAA